rnacentral:lncRNA from 1 species
UUGGGAAAAAACUCAACUAAUACAAAAAACAUCAGAAACCCCUAUAAAAUGCGGAGAUAACGAUACAAUAAUAAUACCAUUAUUAAGAAAAGUGUAAUAAGUCUAAUUUGCCCAGCCCAUAAUAUAAAAAUCAAAUCAAAAUAUAAACCAAACAAAAGAUUAAUAACAGUCUAUAGUCCAAAUACAUGGGCCCAACAUGGCCAAAAUCAAUUAACCUAGCCCAAGCUUAUACCCAACUACACUCGGCCCAAUUACUAUGUGGCCCAAAACUAAAAGAAACCCUAGCAUCAGUCCUCCUUCCAGCGCCGAAGUCGAAUCCAAAGGCUCCCUCGUGCGUGCUGCGCCUAUGCGCACUUGCAUCUCCUCCGCACAUGUUUUCGGCCCUCCCCUUCACACGUGACAGGCCUCCGUACACUUGCGCCUCUGCCUCUGUACCUCUAUGUCGACCUCUGCCCUCGUACACCUGCAAAUGAGACGCAAACAACGCAGCAGAAAAAAGCAAAAAACUGUAUUUUCUUUUUUGUUUUACUUUUUUCGACCUAUAAAGCAAGGGUCGGAAUCUUUGUAAAGUGUUUUACGGACAGAUAGAGAAAAAUACCAAAAAUAUAGCAAAAAAAAUCAAAGAAAAAGUUGGCUGAAGGUGAUUCCUCCUUUUUUUUCCCUCGUUUCUAUUUCUUCGAUGUUCGUUUAUUGUUAUUAAUGAUGGUAGAGUAAAAUAGGGGAGAAAGAGUGACCUCUGUGUUGGUGUCGACCGAAACCUCGCUCAUUUCAUCUCAAUUAAAGUUCGGGCGAGGGCUAUGAGGCCGAAAUCGGCGGAGCGUUCGGUGAUAUGGGGCUUGGGUCGAAACCCUAGCAGACAAGAGGGGGGCGCCCCUUUCUUUUUCUUUUUUUUUUC